rnacentral:rRNA from 1 species
ACUCAAAUGAAUUGACGGGGGCCCGCACAAGCGGUGGAGCAUGUGGUUUAAUUCGACGCAACGCGCAGAACCUUACCCGGGCUAGAAAAACUAGGAAGCCUUCAGAGACGAGGGUGUGCCCGCAAGGGAACCUAGGUCCAGGUGCUGCAUGGCUGUCGUCAGCUCGUGUCGUGAGAUGUUGGGUUAAGUCCCGCAACGAGCGCAACCCUUGUCCUUAGUUGCCAUCAUUUAGUUGGGCACUCUAAGGAGACUGCCGGCGUCAAGCCGGAGGAAGGUGGGGACGACGUCAAGUCCUCAUGGCCCUCAUGUCCGGGGCUACACACGUGCUACAAUGGUCGGUACAGAGCGCUGCGAACCCGCGAGGGGGAGCCAAUCGAGAAAAACCGACCUCAGUACAGAUUGCAGUCUGCAACUCGACUGCAUGAAGGCGGAAUCGCUAGUAAUCGCUGAUCAGCAGGCAGCGGUGAAUACGUUCCCGGGCCUUGUACACACCGCCCGU